rnacentral:rRNA from 1 species
GCCUAAAAUUUCAGUCUAUGGCAACAUGCCUGAUCUCGUCUGAUCUCAGAAGCUAAGCAGGGUCAGGCCUGGUUAGUAUACUUAGAUGGGGGACCACCUAGGAAUACCAGGUGCUGUAGGCA